rnacentral:rRNA from 1 species
GUUCCUGGCUCAGGAUGAACGCUAGCUACAGGCUUAACACAUGCAAGUCGAGGGGCGAGCAUGGUCUUAGCUUGCUAAGGCCGAUGGCGACCGGCGCACGGGUGAGUAACACGUAUCCAACCUGCCGUCUACUCUUGGACGAGCCUUCUGAAAGGAAGAUUAAUACAAGAUGCAUCAUGAGUCCGCAUGUUCACAUGAUUAAAGGUAUUCCGGGUAGACGAUGGGGAUGCG